GCGGGCGUGAUGGAAUGGUAGACAUAUCGGACUUAAAAUCCGUGGGCCUUCGUGCCGUGGGGGUUCAAGUCCCCCCGCCCGCACCA
rnacentral:tRNA from 2 species